AUUGAACGCUGGCGGCAGGCCUAACACAUGCAAGUCGAACGAGUGGCGGACGGGUGAGUAAUGUCUGGGAAACUGCCUGAUGGAGGGGGAUAACUACUGGAAACGGUAGCUAAUACCGCAUACCAUCGGAUGUGCCCAGAUGGGAUUAGCUAGUAGGUGGGGUAAAGGCUCACCUAGGCGACGAUCCCUAGCUGGUUGGAGAGGAUGACGAGCCACAGUGGAAUGGAGACACGGUCCAGACUCCUACGGGAGGACGCAGUGGGGAAUAUUGAACAAGGGGCGCAAGCCUGAGGCAGCCAUGCCGCGUGUAUGAAGAAGGCCUUCGGGUUGUAAAGUACUUUCAUCGGGGAGGCGUUACCCGCAGAAGAAGCACCGGCUAACUCCGUGCCAGCCGCCGCGGUAAUUC
rnacentral:rRNA from 1 species